rnacentral:rRNA from 1 species
GCCUGAUGCAGCCAUGCCGCGUGUGUGAAGAAGGCCUUCGGGUUGUAAAGUACUUUCAGCGGGGAGGAAGGUGAUGAGGUUAAUAACCUUGGCCAUUGACGUUACCCGCAGAAGAAGCACCGGCUAACUCCGUGCCAGCAGCCGCGGUAAUCA